CAAAUCUUUGGCCCAAAGCCUUCUUUGUCUGCAACUCCAUAAAAGCGCCUGCUCUGAAAUGGCUCAUUGGAGUCUCAUCCAUGGAGAGGACGCUGUGCCUGGAUCCUCCUAGUUCCGGAGUCAUAGGCUGAGCAUGGGACUUCGCAGCCACAGUGAAUCAGAAUUGGUGUUCCCCCAAAUUGUGAAAAUGAAAUGACAACAAAGGUGAAAUGAGAACAAAGGAAGAAAGAACCAGAAUAUGCUGUCCAGCCAAUCAAGACAGAAGAAGGAACCUUCUACAGCCUGAAGAGAGGCGAGAGGAGAUGAAGAACGAAAUGAUAAUGGAAUGCCAAAUGGAAGAAAAGCUUCAUUCCGAUCUGACUCAUCUGUCACUGAAGCAU